UACGAAGGGAGCGAGCGUUGUUCGGAAUCACUGGGCGUAAAGCGUGCGUAGGCGGUUUUGUAAGUAAAGAAGUGAAAGCCUGGGGCUUAACCUCAGAAUUUGCUUUUUUAGACUGCAAAACUGGAGUACUGGAGAGGUUAGUGGAAUUCCGAGUGUUAGAGGUGAAAUUCGCAGAUAUUCGGAGGAACACCAGUGGCGAAGGCGACUAACUGGACAGUAACUGACGCUGAGGCACGAAAGCGUGGGGAUCAAACAGG
rnacentral:rRNA from 1 species